rnacentral:rRNA from 1 species
CACGUAGGGCGCAAGCGUUGUCCGGAAUUAUUGGGCGUAAAGAGCUCGUAGGCGGUCUGUUGCGUCCGCUGUGAAAGUCGGGGGCUCAACCCUCGAAUGCCGGUGGAUACUGUCGGGCUAGAGUACGGAAGAGGCGAGUGGAAUUCCUGGUGUAGCGGUGAAAUGCGCAGAUAUCAGGAGGAACACCUAUUGCGAAGGCAGCUCGCUGGGACGUAACUGACGCUGAGACGCGAAAGCGUGGGGAGCAAACAGG